rnacentral:hammerhead_ribozyme from 1 species
AUCCAGAUGACGAGUCCCAGAUUGGACGAAAUGCGAAUUCCGGAU